UAAGAAUCCUGGGACUGAAGUGUAACUCAGGGACAGACAAUGUUUUGGACGCCUGGUGUUGUGGUGCUCAAUUUGAAACACCUCCCCCUGUUCAUGUGUUUGAACACAUGGUCCCCAGCUGGUCUCACUGUUUUGGAAAUCUGUGGAACCUUAAAAAGGCAGAGCCUCACUGGAGGACAUGAGUCGCUGGGGGUAGGUCUUACAGACCAGCCCCACCUAACACUUCCUGUUUGGGCUCUGCUUCUUGACUGCAGAUGAAACACGGGCAAUCAUUGCACCAGAGCAAGUCCUCCUUCCCUUAAACUGCUUCUCGAGGAAAAUAACACACCAGGAGAGAUGACAUAGAAACAUGGUUAGGAAAGCUUCUUAGGGAAGUCGAGAUUCCAUUUAGGCAGUUCUGGGACUCGAACCCAGGGCUCUGCUGGAGUUUGGCAAGUGCGCCUCCCCAGGGACUGAAUGCAGGGCCUCAAUCUGUCCAGGCCGAGGUUGUAUCAGCUGAGAGAAUCCCUGUUCUGCUGCAGAAGGACGAGGCUGAGAGCAGCAGGGAUGGUGCGGACAUCUCGGGCAGAAGCCUCUAGCGUCUUUUCAUCUACACUUUUCCUGGCUUUGUUGUGGGCCUGGAUUACUGAGGAUGGGGAGGGGAAC